GCUAGUCUCUGGAAGGAGAAUGUCUGCUGGGUGAAGGCUGCUUCCUGAGAAGGAGGGCUCUGUUGCUAAAGACCUGCUUGCCAGUCAGGAAAAAGAGGUCUUAAAGCAUCCAGCCUCUCCCCUGUGUGUGGUACCUGAGCAGCGAUGAGCCGCCCUGUGCCUGCACUGCCAUCACCUGGCUCUGGACAGCUUGUCUCAUUCUUCAUACUCCAAAGUCAUCAGAACCUGGCAGUCCUUAGCAACAGUGGGCACAAGGAGGCAUUUGGGGAAGCUGGCCACAAGAGGAUCUGGGUGAGGAAGUCAUUGUGCUCUUCCCAUCGUGGUCACGAUGCACAAAGACCUUCCAGGGAUUGUCUGUUGGAGUAAGUGUACUGUGUGCACUUGGUUAUGUACUGAGCUCUUUGCAUCUCUGCAAGGACGGGCAUCUUUGUCUUAGAAAGUUAGCUGUGGAAAAUGGAGCAACGCAAGUCCUGCAGGACCAUUGGCUUUUAUUCUUUAAAUGCAUUGCGGCCUUGUUAUCAUCUUGACAUGUCCUAAUUUGGGUGCUGGAACAACAGUGAGAUUGUGGAUGGAAGAGGAUGGGAUGGCGCACACAUCCAGCAUGCCCGGCUGGUUCUGUGUGCCACUCCUUCCUCUGGAAGCCCUGGGGCCAAUGGGUGCUGCUGCAGGUGCCAGUGCAGGCAGUGACAUCUCCACAAUUGAGACUGCUUCACAUCCACGCUCUGCCGUCAUGUCUGGAAUAGAAUGGUUGGUCUGCAUACUUUUUUUCAAUUCCAGCUGUAAAAUUGAUCUCUAAGUGGUGCUUUUCUCGGUGUGAUGAAUUAACCACUGGUGCACAAUGGAGGAAAAAUGCUUCUUGAAAUACACGGAUUCUUUAUGGCCGUGAAAGAAGAAAAAGUGCAGAAGGCGACUGUUGUGCCUUGGGAUGGACCUGCAGUUCUGGUCAAGAUGAUGGCUCUGGGGGUCCCGAGCCUAUAGCUGGGAGCUCCUGCUAUGCCAGCUGCGCAAAUGAAACACAUCGUGCCUUGCAGCUGGACUCAAGAUCUACAUGGGAGUUUUUUCAUAUGAACAUAACUGAGGCACAUUUGUCUGUUUUGCUUUCAGCUUACCAAACAAAUCCUUUUGCUGUUUGCAGGAAGCAGUAAUUUUGCUUCCAGCAUCUCUGUUUACUAAGAAAUAAUAAACACUUGUGGGAAGGUUUAUCU
rnacentral:lncRNA from 1 species